rnacentral:tRNA from 2 species
GGUCUCAUAGCUCAGUUGGUUAGAGCAGCUCAUUCUUAAUGAGCGGGUCCCGUGUUCGAGUCACGGUGAGAUCACCA